CACCCACCGCUGGGCGGUGGCGGCGGAAAAUGAAACCUGAGCUUUUAAAAGCUGGGUGUUUCCAAGCUUUCUUCACUUUGCCUUGCCCCUUUGAGUUUCGUCUGGCGAUCUCCUUGCUCCUUUGCUCCAGAUUUACACUUCCAAGAGGGUUUUAAAGAGAUUUCUAUACACUUUCUCAUCACCCACUCACAAAAAGUUU
rnacentral:lncRNA from 1 species